CUCUGCUUUUGUUUGAAAGUUAUUUUACUUAUUAUUAAGACUGUAAAAUUAUGGAUGGUAAAGACAAAGUUAUCCAUGCAAGAGUUAAGAAAGUUCUUGGUAGAACUGGAUCUCAGGGCCAGUGCACUCAAGUGCAAGUGGAGCUAAUAAAUUCAGUACCAGUUAACGGAUCCAAUCGCACGCUUAUUCGUAAUGUUAAGGGGCCUGUCCGUGAUGGUGACAUUUUGGCCCUUCGCGAGAGUGAACGUGAAGCUCGUAGGCUUCGUUGAACUGAUUUUGCAUUUUCAUGUAUUUAGUGUUACGUAGUUUUCUCUCUGCCGUAAUUUUUCAAAGAAAAAUAAAAAAACUUUCGGUGUAUA